UACAGAGGUCUCAAGCGUUGUUCGGAUUCAUUGGGCGUAAAGGGUGCGUAGGCGGCGCGGUAAGUCGGAUGUGAAAUCUCGGAGCUUAACUUCGAAACUGCAUUCGAUACUGCCGUGCUUGAGGACUGGAGAGGAGACUGGAAUUUACGGUGUAGCGGUGAAAUGCGUAGAUAUCGUAAGGAAGACCAGUGGCGAAGGCGGGGCUCUGGACAGUUCCUGACGCUGAGGCACGAAGGUCAGGGGAGCAAACGGG
rnacentral:rRNA from 1 species